rnacentral:lncRNA from 1 species
AUCUCUCCAAUCCCUUAUAUAAGUGCAACUACUUGCAUGGUCCAUGGCUCCAAGCUGCCUAGCAACAAAGGUCUUAAUUAGGAGCUCUCUCCAUUAGGAUCCUCGAGCUUCAGGAAGCUAUCUCCAACAAAACAUACACAUUCAGAUCAACUUCAGUGAUGGCUGCAGAAUCAGAGGUCGGUGACUGCAGUAAUUCCUAGAAUUAACCUCAAGAAUCUCUUCUUUUUUGUUUCACACACUGUUCAAUUCAGAGUUGAUCGAUGUGCUAAUGUACCUGUGACUCGAACUGUACCUGCAGACGCCGCGAAUAACAGAGCUUCAUGUGAGGAUGGACUGCAAUGGCUGCGAGCACAAGAUCAGGAAGACUCUGCGUGCCAUUGAUGGUACAGAAUUAAUUCUCCUCUUUUCUUCAGACAAAUCCAUCUAGCUCAGCCUCAUACACCCUCCAUUUUAAAAAAUAUUAAAUCCUGACUAUAUAUCUGAACAUAUAUUUGUUCGGAUUCAUGGCUAGGAUUUGAUUAUUUUUUCCAGGACGGGGGAGUACCUAUCUGAAAAUUCUGAAAUUUUAGCAUUCUGAAAAAGUGAAAAUGCACUUAUCUGCAG